rnacentral:tRNA from 1 species
GGAGGUGUAGCUCAGUUGGUAGAGCAUGGUGUUUGCAACGCAUGGUGUUUGCAACGCCAGGGUUGUGGGUUCAAUUUCCACGGGGUCCA